GCCUGCAAGUCGAGCGAAUCGGAGGGAGCUUGCUCCCAAAGAUUAGCGGCGGACGGGUGAGUAACACGUGGGCAACCUGCCUGUAAGACUGGGAUAACUUCGGGAAACCGGAGCUAAUACCGGAUAAUCCUUUUCCUCUCAUGAGGGAAAGCUGAAAGACGGUUUCGGCUGUCACUUACAGAUGGGCCCGCGGCGCAUUAGCUAGUUGGUGAGGUAACGGCUCACCAAGGCGACGAUGCGUAGCCGACCUGAGAGGGUGAUCGGCCACACUGGGACUGAGACACGGCCCAGACUCCUACGGGAGGCAGCAGUAGGGAAUCUUCCGCAAUGGACGAAAGUCUGACGGAGCAACGCCGCGUGAGCGAAGAAGGCCUUCGGGUCGUAAAGCUCUGUUGUCAGGGAAGAACAAGUGCCGGAGUAACUGCCGGCACCUUGACGGUACCUGACCAGAAAGCCACGGCUAACUACGUGCCAGCAGCCGCGGUAAUACGUAGGUGGCAAGCGUUGUCCGGAAUUAUUGGGCGUAAAGCGCGCGCAGGCGGUCCUUUAAGUCUGAUGUGAAAGCCCACGGCUCAACCGUGGAGGGUCAUUGGAAACUGGGGGACUUGAGUGCAGAAGAGGAGAGUGGAAUUCCACGUGUAGCGGUGAAAUGCGUAGAGAUGUGGAGGAACACCAGUGGCGAAGGCGACUCUCUGGUCUGUAACUGACGCUGAGGCGCGAAAGCGUGGGGAGCGAACAGGAUUAGAUACCCUGGUAGUCCACGCCGUAAACGAUGAGUGCUAAGUGUUAGAGGGUUUCCGCCCUUUAGUGCUGCAGCAAACGCAUUAAGCACUCCGCCUGGGGAGUACGGCCGCAAGGCUGAAACUCAAAGGAAUUGACGGGGGCCCGCACAAGCGGUGGAGCAUGUGGUUUAAUUCGAAGCAACGCGAAGAACCUUACCCUUGACAUCCUCUGACAACCCUAGAGAUAGGGCGUUCCCCUUCGGGGACAGAGUGACGGGG
rnacentral:rRNA from 1 species